rnacentral:rRNA from 1 species
UGGGGAAUAUUGCACAAUGGGCGCAAGCCUGAUGCAGCCAUGCCGCGUGUAUGAAGAAGGCCUUCGGGUUGUAAAGUACUUUCAGCGGGGAGGAAGGGAGUAAAGUUAAUACCUUUGCUCAUUGACGUUACCCGCAGAAGAAGCACCGGCUAACUCCGUGCCAGCAGCCGCGGUAAUACGGAGGGUGCAAGCGUUAAUCGGAAUUACUGGGCGUAAAGCGCACGCCGGCGGUUUGUUAAGUCAGAUGUGAAAUCCCCGGGCUCAACCUGGGAGCUGCAUCUGAGACUGGCAAGCUUGAGUCUCGUAGAGGGGGGUAGGAUUCCAGGUGUAGCGGUGAAAUGCGUAGAGAUCUGGAGGAAUACCGGUGGCGAAGGCGGCCCCCUGGACGAAGACUGACGCUCAGGUGCGAAAGCGUGGGGAGCAAACAGG